rnacentral:lncRNA from 1 species
GUUUCUAUUCUGAGCUCUCAGUGUCUCUGGAUUACUCCGCCUACUUUAUCAGUUUAUUUUAUCUGACGUUUCCCAGCACUGUCGUUGCAUUUUCAUUUUUCUAUUCUGAGCUCUAAGUGUGUCUGGAUUACGCAGCCUGCUUUAAUUCAUUAGUUUAUUUUUAUCUGAUGUCUCCCAGCGCUGCUGUUGCAUUUUCAGGUUUCUAUUCUGAGAUCUAAGUGUCUGUGGAUUACGAGCCUGCUUUAAAAAUCAGUUUAUUUUAUACGACUUCUCCAGCGCUGUUGUUGCAUUUUCAGGUUUCUAUUCUGAGCUCUAAGUGUCUCUGAAUUACACAGCCUGCUUUAAUUUAUCAGUUUAUUUUUAUCUGAUGUCUCCCAGCGCUGCUGUUGCAUUUCAGGUUUCUAUUCUGAGCUCUAAGUGUCUGUGGAUUACGAGCCUGCUUUAAUAUAUCAGUUUAUUUUAUCUGAUGUCUCCAGCGAUGUGCUUGCAUUUUCAGGUUUCUAUUCUGAGCUCUCUGUGUCUCUGAAUUACGCUGCCGUAUUUAAUUUACCAGUUUUUUUUUUAUCUGACUUCUCCCAGCGCUGUUGUUGCAUUU